rnacentral:lncRNA from 1 species
AGACGCAUGCGCAGUCUCUGUCGGCCUCGUGAGCGGCCGCCACUCGUCACAGUUGCGCUGCAGCGACGCCACAAGACUGAGGAAGGAACUGCAUAGCAUAGCAAAAAAGGAAAAAAAGGCGUAAGAGUAUGGACUGUAUCAGGAAAGGUAUGUAUAAAGCCAGGGUUACCAUACAGGCACGGCAGAUCCACUUCCUGUAAUUCCGAUCAAGAGCACCUAUUUAAUGAAGUAAUUUUAAAUUCCCUUUUAAAAUCCCACUCAAAAGUCAUUACCCAUAAAAAUCCAUUCCCCCCCCCCAAGCUAUGCUUACAAAUGAACAUGGGAUGGCAGUAUAGUUCUAAAUAUUCAUCCACAGAUGUUAAUGGAAUAGAAUUUGAUCAUUAAGUAGACGGGUCACCUUUUCUUUUCAGCUCUUCUGUGACCAAGGGCACAGCGCCUCAGAGGAGAUGCAGACUGCCUUUCUCAUGAAAAUAUUUUUUUUAAAAAAAUGGACACUGGCCUUUGGUCAUGUGCAGUUCUUCCCCCAGAAACCUGCUCCGAUUUUGAGCAAACGUAAAGUGGUUUGUCGCUCUGAGAGUACACACCGGAACAUUUAAGAUCAUACGCAACUAAGUUCUGCUCAGAGUAGACCUACUGAAAUUAAUGGACCUAAGUUAGCCAAGUCCAUUCUUUUCAGGGGGUCUACUCUGAGUAUGCUGGAUACAAGUCAUUCUAAAUAUUUACUUAACCAGUAGACUACUUUUCCUUAUCUAUAUGUUGUUCUAAACAUUUAGUUUCCACCAGAGAAAUGCCUUUAAGCUCUUCUGUGUAAAGGAAAUUGCGCCACAAGUAAUAUAUAUUAGAAUAAACAGUAGGGGGAGUACAACCCUGGAGGAAUACUAUUAUGGCCUAUCCACAACGGCCUCCUUAUUCUUGUUGCCCCAUAAGAACAGCAAGAAAAGAGAUAGAUAAUCCACACGAUAACACCUGACAACAUGAUGCUGUAUGCCUGCCUCACUUCAGCACUCUUAGUACAGUAAUCAAUUGUUUAGCAAGUGACCUGUUCAGCGCAACGUUAAUUUAUUGAUCAAACAACCUAGAGAUAGAAAAUGAAUACAAGUCAACCAAGGAGAAAUGUUUAAAGACUUGGGGGGGGGGUAUCCAAUGUUAGCCUCAUUGAAAUCAGUCUCACACUUUACUAACCUGUUGUUCUUGAGGAUCGGCAUCAGCGUGGCAUUCUGACCAGGCAGGUAGAUUUAGGGCUACAUGGCAAUCUUAUCAACAAGGUGAAACCAGUACCUGAGUGACAGGGAGGGAGAAUCUGUGGCCCUCCAGAUAUUGUUGAACUCCAGUUUCCAUCAGUCCCAAUCAGCAUGGCCAAUAGGGAUGAUGGUAAUUGUAGUUCAAAAACAUCUGGAGAGCCACAUCACUCCUGUAUGAUAUGCUGCAGUUGAUGUUUUACUGCUGCCUUCUACGAGGUAAUAUGAGAUAUAUUCCAUUAUUAAGUAAUUUUAUAGACACCAGUCAACAAUAUACUCUUCCUGGUCAGCAGCUAAUUUCAAGGAAGGUUCGGAGAGGGAGAAGUCUCCCUCAAAGAGAGCUGUUCGCUAGUCUUGCUAUAUCUGUAAUUGCAUCCUUAUACAGACUUUUCUUGUCUCUGGCUUUGAAGCUGAUGAGUCAGAUUUGGCCUUGGGACCUCUAAUUGCUGACCCACAUCAGCAUCCAUGGAAAACCAUGACUUGACAAGGUUGUACAAGGUGAUGGAGACUUGUUUGAUUUACCUUGGGGAAUCUCUGUGAGUAAAGAAUUCACUUAUUUGGAAAGUUAAAUGUCUGUGAUUUAUUCUAGUCUAAGUAUUUUAAUGGGGAACAUUUGUUUAAAGGUGGGUGAAGGCAGAUAUAAAUCUGCCAAGAUGUGUGAGACCCAGCUCAAUCAUGGCUGUAGUAAGAUGGGAAUAUAAAAUGAUUCUUUGGAAGUGAGAGCUGGACCAUAAAGAAGGCUGAUCGCCGAAGAAUUGAUGCUUUUGAAUUAUGGUUUUGGAGGAGACUCUUGAGAGUCCCAUGGACUGCAAGAAGAUCAAACCUAUCCAUUCUUAAGGAAAUCAGGCCUAAGUGCUCACUGGAAGGACAGAUCGUGAAGCUGAGGCUCCAAUACUUUGGCCACCUCAUGAGAAGAGAAGACUCCCUGGAAAAGACCCUGAUGUUGGGAAAGAUUGAGGGCACAAGGAGAAGGGGACGAGAGAGGACGAGAUGGUCGAAGCUACCAGCAUGAGUUUGACCAAGCUGCGGGAGGCAGUGGAGGACAGGAGUGCCUGGCAUGCUCUGGUCCAUGGGGUCACGAAGAGUCAGACAUGACUAAACAACAACAACUGGGAUGAAGAACCUCUGUGGCCCUCCAGAUGUCAUUGGACUCCAGCUCCCAUAAGCCCCAAGCAGCACAGCCAAUGGUCAAGGAUGAUGGGAGUUGUAGCUUAGCAAUGUCUGGAGGACCAUAGGUUCCUCAUUCCUGCUUUACAAUUAAAAUAAGAUGAGGCGAAAUGAAGGCGGGGGGGGGGGACUGUUGGAGAAAGAGGUUUGGAAGAGAGAGUCCUUACUCUCUUGUAGUAGAGUCACACCAUUUUACACAAUGGGGAUUGCUCCAGGCACAGUAAAACUUGGUUAGAUUUAUAUCUGCCCUCACCCACCUUUAAACAAACGUUCCCCAUUAAAAUACUUAGACUAGAAUAAAUCACAGACACUUAACUUUCCAAAUAAGUGAAUUCUUUACUCACAGAGAUUCCCCAAGGUAAAUCAAACAAGUCUCCAUCUGCUGGCAGUGAAAGAAAGGUGAAAAAGGUUUAAACAACUCCCAAUGAAAAGUACUUGGCUUCCUUCCUUCUGGGUUGCACGCUCAUCUCGCUCUAUAGGCCGAGGUAGCCAGCGUUUGUCCGCAGACAGCUUCCUGGUCAUGUGGUCAGCAUGACCAAGCCGCUUCUGACGAACCAGAGCAGCGCACAGAAACGGCGUUUACAUUCCCACCAGAGCGGUUUAUCUACUUGCACUUUGAUGUGCUUUCGAACUGCUAGGUGGGCAGGAGCUGGGACUGAACAACGGGAGCUCACCCCGUCACAGGGAUUUUAACUGCCGACCUUCUGAUUGGCAAGCCCUAGGGUCUGUGGUUUAGACCACAGCGCCACCUGCGUCCCUUGUAUGAACUGUAGUAACUGUAUAUUACAAUGAAAACUUCCUAGCUAUGAGCUUGGUUCAGCAGGGUAAUAAAAGAAUCAGAGUGAACUGGGGAACUUUGAAAGAAAUUGCUUGGGAAAUGGUUCAUUUGCACACAGUGACUGCAUUUUGAUGUCAUGAUAAACUAUGGUAGGGAUGGGGAAGCUGUGGCCAUCCAGAUAUUGCUGGAUCAAAACUCUUAUCAUCCUUGACCAUUGGCUAUGUUGACUGUGACCGAUUGGGGUUGGAAUCCAACGAGAACUGGAGGACUCCAACAAGUUUAAUAUGACAGGACUGAAUCUGUGUGAGCCUCCUCCAGCAUGGCUGUGAGGUGGAGCUUGGAAUCUUUCACCCCCAUCUUUGUUUCACUGAGGCUUGUCAUGUUGUUCAAAGCUGACAAAGUGUGGUUAAUUAUAACUAUGGUUCCUUGAACCAAUUCAGCUUUGUAAGCCUUAUAAGCCAUGCUUUGAAAGUGGUUUGAUUCAAGCAAACCAUAGUUAUAGAUUUAGGUAUAACAGCCCCCACUCCCACCGAGCCUAAGGGUAUUUAUUGUCACAAUAAACCACAGUUUGUCAUAACGUCCAAAUGCAGCUAAUCUCAAAAGUAUCCUUGAGCUCCAUGACUGAGCAAAGGUGAAGUAAAAAUCCCUGUGCCUAAUGCACUACACAGCCUCCUUAAAUCAAAGUUUUAAUAAAUGUUAUGUUGAGUAGAAGUGCUUUUAAAGUGUGUGUAAAAUGGUUUCGGUGCUGGUGAAUUUUCAUGAGGACUUAAGAAAAAUCGCAAACCAAUGUGGAAAUGUGAAGAACUGAACUUAAAUUUUGAAAAAAUGAGAGCAAGAAAUGGAAAUUGGCAGAUUUGCACAUCCAUAACCUCAUUGUUUUACUCUUUCAUUUAGGUUCAACAAGAUAAAAGGGGCAUUGGAUUGCUUUCACUGGCUUUCUUAACUCUAAAGAACUUUGAGAAGAGAGCAAGUGAAAAUUGUGAGUAGAAAUAAAUACCUACCUAUUUUUUUGGGGGGGGGUGUCAAUACCUCUUUAAUUUACAUCCUGACUUUUUUUCCCCUGUUGGACUGCAAUUAUAAUCAUUCAAAGCCCACAGACACAUAAUCGUUUGGCCGGGGAGCAAAAAGACCCUGACUGAUGCGCUUAACAAAAAUUAACCUGGUUAGAGUGGUACUCUGUUGAAAAUGAGAAAGUGCAGGGGAUCAAAAUCAAUGCCUUCACAGCCAAAUGACUGCAGGACUGGCUUUGAAUUUCAGCUAAAUGCCCUUAAAAUGAUGAUCUUAAUUGCAUUAUAUUAAAGCCCCUGAUCAGAUAGUUCAGAUGAUGAUAAUCUAUCAUAUUGGAUGUGGAUGGCAAGGGGAAAAGGGGAGAUGAUAUCUCUUAUGCAGAGGUUGGCUCAGGAUCUCCACGCGCUGCCCAGAGCUUCCCAAGGCUAGGUUACCCAUGUCCAUCUUGUUGGGCAACAGCUUUCAUCAUCCCUGAUCAUUGGUAGUCUUGGGUGUUGGAGCUGUUGGCAGCUGGAGUCCAGCAACAUCAGGAGGGCCCCAAGUUCUCCAUCCCUGCAUAGCCUCACAAAGAGUUUGCAGGCAUCCCACACACAAGAAACUUAGAGAACACAUUGUGCCUGGAACAGCUUUGGACCCAUUUAUUAACUUGUAGCAUUGUAUGAUUAUUUGUACGUGUGAAUUGACCAUCUAUAGAUAGCUUAUUAUGCGGCUUUGAUUGAAAUACAGUGGGUUUUUCUUAGCAGUACAGAGGAACCUCGUGUUACGUACCGUCCUCCUUAUGAAUGCUUCAGGUUAGAAGCUCUGCUAUCCCAGAAGUAUAUGCUCCUGGUUGCAAACUUUGCCCCAGGAUGCGAGCGGAAGUCACGUGCCGGCGGCGUAGCAGCAGGAGGUGCCAUUAGUGAAAGUGUGCCUCAGGUUAAGAACGGUUUCGGGUUACAAACGGACCUCCGGAACGAAUUCAGUUUGUAACCAGAGGUACCACUGUAGCUGGGCAGCAGACUGAGCAGCCACAGAGUUAAUCUCUAGAGCCACAUCUCCCGCACGCUAUGGGGAAAUGUAUUUCUUCUUAAAUUACAACCAGCAUUAUAAUUUAAUUCCCAAACAUAAUUUCCAAGUUUGAACCUAGCUGUAUAAAUCAGGGUCCUUGCGGCGGCUUGAUGUGUAGUAAGUGGCCCCUCUAGGAAGAGCCCUGGGUUGAUCAGUCCAAAAGCCCAUCUCAUCCAGCACCCUGGGAGGAAUUCAUUGUAGUUCUAACUUAAAGGAUCUCAGUUGUGUACCAGUUGCACUAGCAGAAUGGCUUGCACAAGACAAGGCACAGGAAGAGGAGUUGCAGGCCCAUCUAGCUCAGUGUUGCCUACACUGACUGGCAGUGGCUCUGUAGGAUCUCAGACUGAGUUCCCUCCCAGCCUUACCCGGAGAUGCCAAGGAUUUAACCUAGGACCUUUUGCAUGCAAAAGAGAUGCUCUCCCACUGAACUAGUUCCCUUUCCCAAAUGUGAGCCACCAAUGCAUUUCCAUUCCAUGUUUGCCUGCAUUUUUGCCUGCAUGUUUGCCUGCAUUUCACACAUGUGCAGCGAGAACCUCUGCACAGAAACUACACAGAUUCCAGCGUGAAUUCCCGGGAGCAGUUAUUUGCAUUGUUAGCAAAUCUGCUUCUUGCAACCUGCCCUUUCUUCCUUCUUAGCCAAUAUUUGAUCAUCUCCCCAUCGCUGCUGAUAAAUUACUAUGAUAUUUAAAGAUCUUCUUGAGCUUUGCUGAGCGAUGCCUCUAAGUGGCUUGAGAGUGGAGAUUUUGCUUUGCAGUACCACUCGUCAUCUUCUGGUGGGUAAAACUCUUUUCCUUUUUAAAAGCCGGAACCUUGCAGAGUUUCCUGCAGAAGAGGGGCGAAAGGCAUUAGCUCUGCAUUUAAAAUGAAGCAGAUUUACAGUAUAUAUCACAGAAAUAUAGAAUGUCAGUAGCAGUCAGCAAGGACUCAAAUGCCCAUAAUCUUUCUCUCUCUCUCUCUUCUUUCCGGAGUUUAGGACUCUAUGAUGCAAUCCAACAGAGAGUUAAAUCCUUUAACAUUUUGGUCCUGCUCUAAUUUGGGUUCAUCAUUAUGUCAAAAAUGGUUCAAUUCCAGUAUAUUGUUAUGAGUUUUGGCUGGGGGGAAGGGCUAGGCUGAAUGCCUGGGCCCCCUUCUAAUUCCUAGAUCCAACAUUGAGUCAAGGAAUAGCCAGCCCAGCCUGGGAGAUGGAUCGCUAAGUGACCGACGGAAAGGGGGCUCUAUGCCAGAUGACAAAUGGAUGGAGCCCCUCCAGCUCUUAGAUAGUUAAAUGGACAAAGCCUAAGUUUGAGGGCAGAGUUUGCUGUGAUGUGGCCCAGAGGGAAAAGCUGCAGGCUGGAGAGAAAAUCCAGAACAGAUUUAGGGGGUGCACAGAGGGUGUUCUGUUGUGCAAGCAGGAAUCCUUGUGUUGACGGAAGAGGGGAGUUAGCACCACAUUGGAUUCCACCCUAAAUAUUUAACUUGAGCUACUGCAUUUAAUAAUAGAGAGGAAGAAACACAGACCAAACUGGACAUGAUGAAGGUAAUGUGGCCCUUGGACUCCUCUGUCUGGCCCCUGGGACCCUUCAUUCCUUCCUCUAGCUCUUUUGCCUGAUUGAAAUGUGUCCUUGAACUGUGACAAUGCCUUUUGUUUGCCUGGAUGCUGUGAUGUGUGGGGUGUGUGUUUAGAACCUUCUGAUUUAGUGUGGAUGGAGUGUGGCCUUCUGCACAAAAGUAAGAGUCAAAUCUGGAAUGCCUUCCCUCAGGUAAUUUGUGAGGUGGAGACAGUAAUGGCCUUUAAGAACCUCUUAAAAAUGUGUGUUUUUGCACCCUGACACCUAAUUCUCCAUUUCAUACACAUCUCGGCUUUAUGGACGACAUGGUUUUCAGCUAGUUUUUAAGAAAGUUUUAUUGAUUGCCAUUGUUGUAUUCUUUUUAAAAAAAUGUAAACUGCUUAGAGAUUUUCAAAAAAUAUUAUUCUCAAUGGUAUUAUACACAAAGAAAAGUCCCAAAGAGACUUAGCUAGAGUUGGGAAGGCCUGGGGAAAACCCAGAAAAAUAGGGAAAAAACCCAGGUUUUUUUCUGGAAAAAUUGGGGGGAAAAAAGUAUGUGGAAUAUUCAAACAAUAGCAAACUGUUUUUUUUCUUUUCGUUUUUUUCCAGAAAAAAGGCUUUGGAAAAAACCCUGGUUCCCCCGCCCAGCCCAUUUUUUUUUUUGUUUUUUCCGCAGGCCUUCCCAUCUCUAGACUUAACACGAUAAAAUAUGAAGAAGUAAAAUCAGUUAAAAGUCAUUUUUUUAAAAAAAAAUGUGAAAACAACGUCCAGUACAAAAUUCCUCAAAUGCUUAUUGAACUUUACAAUAAGAACAACAAGUCCUAAAAUGUUAUGCAGCACACAUAUUUCCAAAUAAAUAAAUGGUUGCUCUGCCCCCCCUUGUCUUUAGCUCCACCUACUUUUGCCUUUGGCUCCACCCAUCACUGGCAUGUGACCCCUGGAAGGAUUUCCAUGAAGGGAUGCGGCUCUUGGGCUAAAUAUGGUCUCCCACC